UACGUAGGGGGCUAGCGUUGUCCGGAAUCAUUGGGCGUAAAGCGCGGGUAGGCGGUCCGGUAAGUCCGCUGUGAAAGUCGGGGGCUCAACCCUCGAAUGCCGGUGGAUACUGUCGGGCUAGAGUGCGGAAGAGGCGAGUGGAAUUCCAGGUGUAGCGGUGAAAUGCGUAGAUAUCUGGAGGAACACCGGUGGCGAAGGCGGCAUCCUGGACCGGUAUUGACGCUGAGGCGCGAAAGCUAGGGGAGUAAACGGG
rnacentral:rRNA from 1 species